rnacentral:ncRNA from 2 species
GGCCGGCAUGAUCGCGUCGGUGUCCUGAGAGGGACUUAAUAGGGAACGCGGUGAAGGUGGUUCGCCGCCUGAAUCCGAGGCUGUCCCUGCAACUGUAAGCGGCGAGCGCGAUGCAUAUCGCUUCUUCCUUCAUAGGAAGGGGCAGCCACUGGGCCGGACGUAAGUCACGAAGGCCUGGGAAGGCCGUGCAUCGUGUGAUGACCCGUGAGCCAGGAGACCUGCCGGCGUCUGGUCGCUCUU